AUGUCCUGGAGGGCAAGUAGUGUGCCCCCAGUGAUGCAUUGGGCGGACCACACCACCCUCUGGAUAGCCAUGUGGUUGUGGACGGUGCAGUUGCUGUACCAGGUGGUGAUACAGUCCUUCUGUUCACCUGAUUUAGAAUUCCUCACAAUCAAAUGUCGACCGCAUUAUCUACCAAGGGAAUUCUCUUCGAUUAUAAUCACAGCCGUAUAUAUUCCCCCCCAAGCAGACACAUCGAUGGCCCUGAACAAACUUUAUUUGAGUCUUUGCAAACUGGAAUCCAUAUAUCCUGAGGCUGCAUUCAUUGUAGCUGGGGAUUUUAACAAGGCUAAUCUGAAAACAAGACUCCCUAAAUUGUAUCAGCAUAUCGAUUGCGCAACCAGGGCUGGAAAAACCUUGGAUCAUUGCUAUUCUAACUUCUGCGACGCAUAUAAGGCCCUGCCCCGCUCUCCUUUCGGAAAAGCUGACCACGACUCCAUUUUGUUGAUCCCUGCCUACAGACAGAAACUAAAACAAGAAGCUCCCGCGCUGAGGUCUGUUCAACGCUGGUCCGACCAAUCUGAUUCCACACUCCAAGACUGCUUCCAUCAUGUGGACUGGGAUAUGUUUCAUAUUGCAUCAAACAACAACAUUGACGAAUACGCUGAUUCGGUGAGCGAGUUCAUUAGAACGUGCGUUGAAGAUGUCAUUCCCAUAGCAACGAUUAAAACAUUCCCAAACCAGAAACCGUGGAUUGAUGGCAGCAUUCGCGUGAAACUGAAAGCACGAACCACUGCUUUUAAUCAGGGCAAGGUGACCGGAAACAUGACCGAAUACAAACAGUGUAGCUAUUCCCUCCUCAAGGCAAUCAAACAAGCUAAGCGUCAGUAUAGAGACAAAGUAGAAUCUCAAUUCAACGGCUCAGACACAAGAGGUAUAUGGCAGGGUCUACAGUCAAUCACGGAUUACAAAAAGAAAACCAGCCCUGUCACGGACCAGGAUGUCUUGCUCCCAGGCAGACUAAAUAACUUUUUUGCCCGCUUUGAGGACAAUACAGUGCCACUGACACAGCCCGCAACCAAAACAUGCGGACUCUCCUUCACUGCAGCCGACGUGAGGAAAACAUUUAAACGUGUUAACCCUCGCAAGGCUGCAGGCCCAGACGGAAUCCCCAGCCGCGUCCUCAGAGCAUGCGCAGACCAGCUGGCUGGUGUGUUUACGGACAUAUUCAAUCAAUCCCUAUCCCAGUCUGUUGUUCCCACAUGCUUCAAGAGGGCCACCAUUGUUCCUGUUCCCAAGAAAGCUAAGAUAACUGAGCUAAACGACUCACUUCCGUCAUCAUGA
rnacentral:lncRNA from 1 species